rnacentral:lncRNA from 1 species
CUCUUUACCAAAAUGUGACAACUUGACUUGACAGAGGAUGCUCUUUUACAUGAUUGAAGUAAUUUGCAAACCUAGAAUCAGUGAUUUUUAGCAUUACAUUUUUGUCAAUCAACAAAGCAUCCCCAUAAUAUUUCGGUGCAAAUACACUCUUGUGACAGUGCUGCAGCUGUGCAAGUAACUACCUGCAUACAACAGUUUAUAUGAAAUUGAAAAAAUACUUUGAAAAUCAGCAAGUGUAAUGACCAACAACAAAUGAAAAUUAAUCUCGAAUGAUACGUGUCUUUUUCAUUACAGGGUUGUUAUGCAUCAAAUUCUCAAUAGAGAAUGGGGCAUUCUCACUAUACCCCUCUUCCAUCUCUCAUCCAAAUAAGAAAAUAUUGCUCCCUCUAUGCUCAUCAGUCAAUGUGAAGUCUUAAAGAAGACAUAUCACAUCUUCAAGCAGCGAAAACCAAGGGAAAAAAAAUAAAGAAUCCCCAAAAAUAGAGCAAAUGCCAGCUAAUAGUGAAUAUACUAAAGAGUGCUAUCUUUCAGUCGUGAAAAAUUCCAAGCAAAGUGGGUUGCUUCCUGCAGAUGGCAAGCAUAAAGUAGGAGAAAAAGGAGAUAAUUAGGAAACUAUUGUUAAACUAUAUCAUUUUCAAAUUCAGAGGAAUUGAACUGAACAGUUGAAAAUAUAAAUUCAGCUAUGGCUAAUUGGCAAAAAAUUCUUACGAAGCAAUAGAGAUCCAAGCAUACAAUAUUUAGCACAAAAAUAUCUCUUUUUUCUCUUUCAGUUCUCCUUUUUUCCUAUUCUGCUUACUCUCUUUUCUCCUCCUCUCUUGUAGCCACCACUUUCUCCAUCAGCCACGUUCCCAAAAACAUUUUAUCUACACAUGUAUUCUAGUCAUUUUCUUCAUUUUCCUUCAGUAAUUUUCCCCCUCAACUUAGAUUGUUUUUCAAGAAAAACAAUUAUCUUAAAAAUUAGCUUAUGAAAGUCAUGUUUGAAACUUUUCACUCUAUAGGAGGUAAGAUACCUCUUCAUAAGUGCAUCGUGCAUGGAUCAUAUACCAUGAAAAAAAUGUCAAGGGUAAAAUGCUAAGGAAAACUUUAUUGCAAAAGAUAUAUAUAUAUAUAUUCUCGUUGAAAACAUAGGUAAGUUCAUAGCAGUGUAGAAUCGUGGUGCAGACUUGUGAAAUGAUGUCUUGGUACUGAUAUUUAGUAUUAGUUUUGUACUCAUCAAAUAAAAAGAUCUAAACUAAAACAAAUAUCUUUUUUGAAAUAAAAGUAAAAGAGUUAGUGACAUCUAUUAUUGAUCUCACCAAAUUUACCAAAGUGAAACAUCAAAAAGAUAGAGGGGGAACAAAUGAGAGUUCAACCAUUCAUAUAUAUCUUCUUAUAUGGUCUAUGAAUAAUUGAAGCCAAGCUUCCAGUAAUAUCAUCAUAAUCAUAAAGUUACAACAAUUUGGAAAAUUACUUGGCAACCUUAUCAAUUGAAAAUCUACAUGAAAUGACCAUAGACCAAACUAUAAGCAUGUGCAAAUUGUGAUAAAACUCUAUUGUAUAUUUAGAAAAUUAGAAGAUCUUUGUUCUUUUAUUCGAUGAGUCAAUCUAUCCAUUCUCAUUAGGGGAAUUCCUUUAUCUUAUCAAGAGUCCUAGGGAAAUAAAAAAUAACUUCGAGGUAUUUUUUUCGUUUCUUUAAACUUCUUACAAUUUUAUCAUCCUACACCUCAGGACUCACAUAGCUUUAAAGUUAUUUUCUAUUCAAGCAAUCCAAUUUCCACCAAGGACGAUAAAUUUUAAGUUGUCAUAAUACUAAACAAAGAAUAGCUAAGGAUAUGACUACUUUAAAGGUUAUUAUGGAUAUUGUGGGAAGAACACACAUGAAAAGCAAGCUUUGUAAACAUAAAUUUGGCUAACCAAGUUGGGUCGGUGAUCCUAGUUUUAGCAUCUUGCCUGAACUUGCAUAUUUUGUCACUGCUACUUCCCUUUCUUGUCAAUCAUAGUUGAAGAGGUCAUAUUCCUUUUGUUUCUUUUAGUGGCACUUGUAAUCCAUUGAUUGAAGAUAGAAAAGUAACUGCAGUUUCGGUGACCUCAAGGUUAUGAGCCUUGCGAGCUAUCAGAUUGUUGUACCACAAGCCAAAGAUAAGAACUGAAAACUAAUAGAUAAAAAGAAUUAAAUGUUCCCCUCCACCCUAUCAGUACAAAUAGAAUAAAAGUGAAACAUCAAAAAGAUAGAGGGGAACAAAUGAGAGUUCAACCAUUCAUAUAUAUCUUCUUAUAUGGCCUAUGAAUAGUUCAAGCCAAGCUUCCAGUAAUAUCAUCAUAAUCAUAAAGUUGCAACAAAUUGGGAAAUUACUUGGCAACCUUAUCAAUUGAAAUCUACAUGAAAUGACCAUAGACCAAACUAUAAGCAUGUGCAAAUUGUGAUAAAACUCUAUUGUAUAUUUAGAAAAUUAGAAGAUCUUUGUUCUUUUAUUCGAUGAGUCAAUCUAUCCAUUCUCAUUAGGGGAAUUCCUUUAUCUUAUCAAGAGUCCUAGGGAAAUAAAAAAUAACUUCGAGGUAUUUUUUUCGAUUCUUUAAACCUCUUCAAAUUUUAUCAUCCUACAUCUCAGGACUCAGAUAGCUUUGAAGUUAUUUUCUAUUCAAGCAAUCCAAUUUUCACAAAGGACGAUAAAUUUUAAGUUGUCAUAAUAUUAAACAAAGAAUAGCUAAGGAUAUGACUACAUUAAAGGUCAUUAUGGAUAUUGUGGGAAGAACACACAUGAAAAGCAAGCUUUGUAAACAUAAAUUUGGCUAACCAAGUUGUGUCGGUGAUCCUAGUUUCAGCAUCUUGCCUGAAUAUUUUGUCACUGCUACUUCCCUUUCUUGCAAAUCGUAGUUGAAGAGGUCAUAUUCCUUUUGUUUCUUUUAGUGGCACUUGUAAUCCAUUGAAUUAGGAUGUUACAGAAUUUGAUAAUAUAUUUACUAAGAUCAAUGGAUCAUUCUUCUAACAAUUUGAACAUAACUUUCAUCAAACAUGUUAUGUACAAAGGAAUAUGACUACAAAAUGAGGAUAGAAAAGUAACUGCAGUUUCCGUGAGCUCAAGGUUAUGAGCCUUGCGAGCUAUCAGAUUGAUGUACCACAAGCCAAAGAUAAGAACUGAAAACUAAUAUAUAAAAAGAAUUAAAUGUUCCCCUCCACCUUAUCAGUACAAAUAGAAUAAAAGUGAAACAUCAAAAAGAUAAAGGGGAACAAAUAAGAGUUCAACCAUUCAUAUAUAUCUUCUUAUAUGGCCUAUGAAUAGUUCAAGCCAAGCUUCCAGUAAUAUCAUCAUAAUCAUAAAGUUGCAACAAAUUGGAAAAUUACUUGGCAACCUUGAAAUGACUAUAGACCAAACUAUAAGCAUGUGCAAAUUGUGAUAAAACUCUAUUGUAUAUUUAGAAAAUUAGAAGAUCUUUGUUCUUUUAUUCGAUGAGUCAAUCUAUCCAUUCUCAUUAGGGGAAUUCCUUUAUCUUAUCAAGAGUCCUAAGGAAAUAAAAAAUAAC